rnacentral:rRNA from 1 species
AUGAAACUCCUAUCACGGAACUGCAGUGGAAUGCUUUUGACCACGACAGUUGGAGAGCUCUUGGACCUGCAAGGGCGUGUGAAAGCAGAUGUGUUUUUUUUUUUGUCUGAAUCCCAUCUGAAUGAAGCUAAGACAAUUGAUCUAAGAGUAAAACUAGGAUUUGAUUUUUUUCAUAUAGUUGAGAGUGAUGGUCGGUCAGGAGGGCUUGUUUUGUUUUACAAUUCCCCUAAUGAAGUGGUUUUAAAUUACUCAUCGCCUAAUUUUAUUGAUGGUUUUGUCAUGAAGGACAAUUCUGUGGCAUGGAAGUUGACAUGUUUUUACGGAGAACCAAAUUGGGACCAGAAGCACUUGUCUUGGACGUACUUGGGAGAUCUCCAUAGUAACUUAACAGGGCCAUGGAUGGUAAUGGGGGAUUUGAACGAAAUCCUAGUGGCGAGUGAAAAGGAAGGAGGCAAUGUUAGACCACAACAGCACAUGCAGAAUUUCCGGGACUGUGUUGUGGACUAUGAAUUACAAGAGCUCAUGACAAUAGGAGAUCCAUUUACUUGGAGUCGUGGAAUAAUCAGAGAAUGCCUAGACAGAGGCUUAUGCAAUGAUCGAUGGGCCAAUAUGUUUCCGUAUGCGGCAGUAGUUCACGAGCACCACGUUCACUCAGAUCAUUGA